rnacentral:rRNA from 1 species
CAGCCGCCGCGGUAAUACCGGCGGCCCGAGUGGCGGUCACUAUUAUUUGGCUUAAAGCGUCCGUAGCCGGGUUGGGAAGUCCUCCGGGAAAUCUGGCCGCUUAACGGUCAGAAUGCCGGAGGAUACUCCCAGCCUAGGGAGCGGGGGAGGCCGAGGGGAUUCCCGGAGUAGGGGUGAAAUCCUAUAAUCCCGGGAGGACCACCUGUGGCGAAGGCGCUCGGCUGGAACGCGUCCGACGGUGAGGGACGAAGGCCAGGGGAGCAAACCGGAUUAGAUACCCGGGUAGUCCUGGCGGUAAACGAUGCGGACUUUGUGUCGGACAAGCUAUGAGCUUGUCCGGUGCCGGAGGGAAACCGUUAAGUCCGCCGCCUGGGGAGUACGGCCGCAAGGCUGAAACUUAAAGGAAUUGGCGGG